AGCGAACGCUGGCGGCAGGCUUAACACAUGCAAGUCGAGCGGGCAUCUUCGGGUGUCAGCGGCGGACGGGUGAGUAACGCGUGGGAACGUGCCUUCUGGUUCGGAAUAACUCAGGGAAACUUGAGCUAAUACCGGAUACGCCCUUUUGGGGAAAGGUUUCCUGCCGGAAGAUCGGCCCGCGGUUGAUUAGCUAGUUGGUGGGGUAACGGCCUAGCAAGGCGACCAUCAGUAGCUGGUCUGAGAGGAUGAUCAGCCACACUGGGACUGAGACACGGCCCAGACUCCUACGGGAGGCAGCAGUGGGGAAUAUUGGACAAUGGGCGCAAGCCUGAUCCAGCCAUGCCGCGUGAGUGAUGAAGGCCUUAGGGUUGUAAAGCUCUUUUAUCCGGGACGAUAAUGACGGUACCGGAAGAAUAAGCACCGGCUAACUACGUGCCAGCCGCCGCUGUAA
rnacentral:rRNA from 1 species